AGGGGAGUAGCUCCAGCGGUAGAGCGAACGACUCCAAAUCGUUAGGUCGUGGGUUCGAAUCCCUCCUCCCCUGCCA
rnacentral:tRNA from 1 species